rnacentral:lncRNA from 1 species
CAAGUGUAACUCUUUAUUAAGAUGGAAUUGUUCUUAUUAAAGAAAUAGAUGAAAAUGGUUAAGUACAAUUAAAUGGCUCCAAAAGUCUUACAAUGAAAACAACAGUCCUGCCAGUUGUUCUUUCCAGAGGCAAAUACUUUUCAUUCUCUUAGUUUUUCCUUCCGUUAGUUACCUUCAUGGGUUUUUCCAAAUUAUUGUUUUUUUUUAGUUUUUCAAGUGAAUGCAUAUAUUAAUACAUAAAAUUUUAAAAAGGCUUUUCAGUUUAUAAUGCAUCCUAACAGUCCCCUGCCCCAUCCCUCCUAAUUCUCCAGAGCAAUGACUUUUAACUCUUUUAGCAAUGUCUUCUGUUUUUUUCCUCACAUAACUUAGUCAUUUCAUUAUUAUAGCAGCUGGACUAUGUUCCGCCCACACACAGGACAGGGAGCUGACAACCAAGGAGGGGGGCGGGAUCAAUACUCCAGCUUUCCCCCCUCCAUUUCCCUGUAUCUCAGCAGUAUGGAGCUUGUUAUCAAUGAGAACCUGCUCGCUGACUUUAAAUUGCUUUUCUUACCUUCUCAGUUCAGUUUCUCCGUACCUCAAUUGAUGAUUUCUGGUAUGACCUAGCAAAUACACUGCUUUCACUGAAAUUUCAGUCUUGCAAUCUGCUUUGGGUUCCCCAAUCUAAGACAGAAACAUACUCAUUUUCCCAUCACUGGACUUCCAGGUUGUUUUCAAUUUUCCACUGUUACAAACAAGGUGGCAACAUUUAUCUACAAACCUCUGGAUAUACACGUAGGAAUCUUUUGGUAUUUCCACUAGUGAAACUGCUCAGUUGAAGGGUAUGUGGAUCUUCAUCUUUAAUAAAUAUUACCAACAUGUGAAAAGCCCGACAAUGUCAAGGACUGGCAAGAGUGCCACAUGUGAUGGGUGUGGAAUGGCAGCUCACUAUAGCAGGUGCUGGGGACUCAGUUGGGGUCUUGGAGAAGCACUUAGUUAUAGCAAGAAUGUCUCAUAAAUGGUAUCUGAUAGAGACAAGAGUAGUGGGGAAUAAAAACUAGUUGCUUAGAAAUAAUUAUAGAUCUAAAGUCAACAAAAAACCUUUUCUAAUGUAAAAAUACAUACUUUUUUCAGAGGGAGGGGGAACAACUUAAACUAGAAAACACCUUCAUAUUAAUCAUUCUUCUCAUAUACUUCAAAUUUGUACUUAAUGCCUUUCUCCUCCUGGACAUCAGAGAGAACACCUGGGUAUUCUGGCAGAAGUUUAUAUUUCUCCAAAUCAAUUUCUGGAAAAAACGUGUCACUUUCAAAGUCUUGCAUGAUCCUUGUCACAAAUAGUUUAAGAUGGCCUGGGUGAUUCAUGGCUUCCUUAUAAACAGAACUGCCACCAACUAUCCAGACCAUGUCUACUUUAUUUGCUAAUUCUGGUUGUUCAGUAAGUUUUAAGGCAUCAUCUAGACUUCUGGAAAGAAAAUGAGCUCCUUGUGGAGGUUCCUUGAGUUCUCUGCUGAGAACUAAAUUAAUUCUACCCUUUAAAGGUCGAUUCUUCUCAGGAAUGGAGAACCAGGUCUUCUUACCCAUAAUCACCAGAUUCUGUUUACCUUCUACUGAAGAGGUUGUGGUCAUUCUCUGGAAAUAUCUGAAUUCAUUCCUGAGCGGUGGCCAGGGCAGGUCCCCGUUCUUGCCGAUGCCCAUGUUCUGGGACACAGCGACGAUGCAGUUUAGCGAACCAACCAUGACAGCAGCGGGAGGACCUCCGAGCCCGCUCGUUACAGCAGAACGCGCGGUCAAGUUUGGCGCGAAAUUGUC